rnacentral:rRNA from 1 species
GGGGGCGCUUACCACUUUGUGAUUCAUGACUGGGGUGAAGUCGUAACAAGGUAACCGUAGGGGAACCUGCGGUUGGAUCACCUCCUUACCUUAAAGAAGC